AAGAUGUCUAGGAGACAAGGUGGAUGCACAGGUCCCAGAGCAUAGUGAGAAUCCUCUGAUUCUGGAUAAUACUCUGAAGAGUCUCGAGUCCCUGUGACAAAGCUGUAGCUGGAACCUGAAAGUGAAGCAGCCUGCUGUUCCCAAGAACAAGCGCAUGCAAGAGAUGAGGGAUACUGCGAGAAAGUUAGCUUUUCUUUAGAAAUGCCCAAGUUCCCUUAUGGAAAACAGCUUCUUCAAUCAAAAAUGAAAUCAAAAGACAAAAUCAACCAAGGGUAAGGAGGAGAGAAACAUCCACAGUUGCCAGCACAAAAGCAAAAGAGAAAUCGAUAGAGAUAUGGAGGAGAAAAUGUACAAAACUGCCAAAGAUGAGGUACCCAGACAUGAAUGAUGAAGCUCCAGACUUUUCUCUGCUGGCCGCCUUCUUAUGGCCCAGGAACACCUGCAUGAAAUGAACUAAAACUCACAAUUUAAAUAAUAACGAUAGCAAGAGAAGUAGAAAUGCCAAGUGAGAACUCUCCCAGGAAACUUAAGCUAGUAUAGCAACUCCUGAUAAUUUUACAAUACCUUACACUGUGCAAAUAUACAGUCUAUUGUUGUUACCUUGA